AUGCAGCACGUGGCAUCAAGCGGCACCCAUGUACCUGCCAUCGACGUCAUACAUAGUACCACGGCAAACGUCUCAUGGCAAGCUUCACAGAUUGCAGAUGGAGCACGUCAAUUUGGUGUGACAGACCACACAAGAUGGGCACAUGCAGCACCUACAACUACAGUGAACAGCAGCGCGGGGACAUCUACUGCGGGGAGCUCUGAGCGCACGGAAGGCGCGUUCCACCAGCUAGCCAACAAUCAUGCCGCAAACAAUGCCGAGUCAGAGUCGGAAAUGGCAAUCAUUCGAGCAAUGCCGACAAGCACCCCUUUGAACACAAGCACUGGCAACACUCAAGUAGAUGAAACUGCCGCCGAUACUGAAGUGAAUGAUGAAACUGAUGACGAAGCACAAGGGGAUGAAGAUUGUAGGCAAUCAAAGAUCAUGGUACCUCAGCCACCGUAUGUUGGGCAGAGAUUUGAAUCGUUUGUAGAAGCAAAGGAAUUCUACCAUACAUAUGCAAAGUUCCAUUGGUUUGGGGUCAACACUGAAUACCAUAGGAAAAUUAAGAAAACUAACGAGUACAGCAGAGGUGAGAUGAGGUGCCACAAGGCACGAGGGAACAAGAAGGGGAAAGGUGUUGCGCCUGUCGUUCCGGAACGAAAGAGAGGUAUCAUUCUCAAGACGGAAUGCCCUGUCCGGUGUAAGCUAAACAUAGAUGGAGCACAGUGGGUGGUCACUGAAUAUUUUGACGAGCACAACCACAAACUCAUAAAGAAGUUCAACCUGAUAAAAUUUCUGAUCGCCCAUAGAGGAUUCACCCCCCUCGAGAAGAAAUUCAUAAAGCUGCUACAUGAUUGUAACGUCGGUCCAUCAAGAAUGGUCCAGAUACUAUCACUCAUCCACAACAAAAAAGGGACUCUGAGUAGCAUGCCCUACAUACCAGCUAACGUCACAAACCUAAAGGCAAAGUACUAUAGAGAGAGCAAGUUGGCUGACAUAGAGGCCACAAUGGCCUACUUCGAUGAGAAAGCGAAGGAAGAUCCAGAUUUCUUCUACAGGAUAAGGUUGGACGAUGAGGACCGUGUCAGGAACAUAUAUUGGGUGGAUGGUGCUGCAAGAAGAGCCUACAAACAUUUCCCAGAUUGCAUUUCAUUCGACGCGACAUAUCUCACUAAUAUGUACAAGAUGCCAUGCGCUCCAUUCAUAGGAAUAAAUAACCACAAUCAGUCGUUGCAGUUCGGAUGCGGGCUCGUUCAGAACAAAGACACAGAUGGGUACAUUUGGUUGUUCAAGACGUUCUUGGAGUGCAUGGAUGGACUUGCUCCGAUGAACAUAAUAACAGACCAGGAUUUUAGCAUGCGUGCAGGCAUAGAGGAGGUCUUUCCGUUGGCAGUGCACAGGCACCGCAGGUGGCACAUUAUAAAGAAGGUUGAGGAGACGCUAGGACCGUUCUUUGCUGACCGUCCAGAGCUGCACAAGGCAUUCAAGCUGUGCAUGGACCACAGCAUGACGGUGGAGGAGUUUGAAAGGAACUGGAUGGCCAUGACUGAAACAUAUCAAGUCCAAGACAACGAGACUCUUGCUAGCCUGUGGGAGAAGCGAAUGUACUGGGUGCCAGCCUACUUCAUACAGUGCUUCUUCCCGUUUCUGCAGACUACGCAGCGCAGCGAGGGGUUCAAUGCUGUUUUGAAGCGGUACGUGAGCCCUGGCAACUCAUUGCUAUAG
rnacentral:rRNA from 1 species